rnacentral:misc_RNA from 1 species
AAGUCGUAACAAGGUUUCCGUAGGUGAACCUGCGGAAGGAUCAUUACCAAUAUUUAAAAUAUCCAAACCCAUGUGCACAGUGAAUUCAAUGUCUUGGUUUUUGGGGUAGUUGCUUUAAACAGUGCUGCCCCAACCCAUUUGUUAAACUACUUUUAUAUUUGUCAUGGCAUCGUACUUGUCUUAAUAAACAAUUAUGACAACUUUUAACGGUGGAUCUCUUGGCUCGUGG